GCCGAGGCCUCUUAGCAGCCAAUGUGAAUGCGACAAGUCCCCGAUCCAGGCGUCCCGCUCUCCCCGGCCCCGCUCGCCAGGUCCUACCACGAUGCCUGACUCGUUUGCGGCUUUGGGACCGGUUGUAGGUGGCUUGACCGUCACUAGUAGACGUUUCUGAUUGUGUCGCGGUCACCAUGGGGAGGUUCCCUGCUCAAGCUCUCUUCUCUUGUCUGCCGCCAUGUGAGACGUGCCUUUGACCUUCUGCCAUGAUUGUGAGGCCUCCCCAGCCACGUGAAACUGGUCAUGAAAGACAAAGAUUGAGGAGGUUCAAUCACACAUUCUAAGGACAAAUCACAAGACCAAAGGAGAUGGGAUAACAAAAUGCAACAUGGUUGAGCAAGAGCUGGAUUUUAUGAAAAAAACAAAAAAAAAACAAAAAAAAACAAAAAAGACUUAAUCGAAAAUGCAAGGUGGGAUCCUGGAUUGGAUCCUCAAAUAGAAUAGUUUUUCUAUUAGUAGAAACAUUAGUAAAAUUUGAAUGAGGUCUGUAAUUUCUUUAAUAGUUUUGUUCUGGUGUUGGAUCUUGCUUUUAGUCAUUGUGCUAUGGUUAGGUAAGAUGUUAACAGCUGAGAUAACUGGGUGAAGAAUAUUCAGAAACUUAAUUUUUAUGACUUUUCUCUAAGUCUAAAAUAAUUUCAAAAUAAAUUUUUU
rnacentral:sRNA from 1 species